rnacentral:rRNA from 1 species
UACGUAGGGUGCAAGCGUUGUCCGGAAUCACUGGGCGUAAAGCGCACGUAGGCGGCUUUUUAAGUCAGAGGUGAAAUCCUGGAGCUCAACUCCAGAACUGCCUUUGAUACUGAGAGCUUGAGUCCGGGAGAGGUGAGUGGAACUGCGAGUGUAGAGGUGAAAUUCGUAGAUAUUCGCAAGAACACCAGUGGCGAAGGCGGCUCACUGGCCCGGUACUGACGCUGAGGUGCGAAAGCGUGGGGAGCAAACAGG